AUGCUUUUGCAUAUCCGGUGAAAAGGGAAACAGGUGAAAGUCCUGUACGAACUCGUCACUGUAAGCGGGGAGUGCGGUGCCAUUUACGCCACUGAGAGAUUGGGAAGGCGGCACGGCAUGAGGAGCCGUAAGUCAGGAGACCUGCCUGCAGA
rnacentral:ncRNA from 1 species